GGGCGGGUAGCGUAGUGGCCAGCGCAUUCCCUGAGCGUAAUUAGCGUUGAUUUUCUUCUCUUUCCUAGAAAAAGCGUUCAUUGAAAGUCCUGGGUUCGAAUCCCAGCCCGCCCA